rnacentral:misc_RNA from 1 species
UUCUAGCCCCGAUGGAAACGGCAUCCUUUUUUGUUGCGCCGACAGGCGGAACAAAAAAGAUAUAGUCCUUCGACAAGCUCA